GGCCACGUAGAAAAGUGGUAAUUCAGCGGUCUGCAAAACCGCUAUACGCGGGUUCGAUUCCCGCCGUGGCCU
rnacentral:tRNA from 1 species